rnacentral:rRNA from 1 species
GACGAGGGGUCCAAGCGUUGUUCGGAAUCAUUGGGCGUAAAGCGGGUGUAGGCGGCUCUAUAAGUCAGGAGUGAAAGCCCCGAGCUUAACUUGGGAAGUGCUUUUGAUACUGCAGAGCUUGAAUGUGGGAGAGGUUAGUGGAAUUCCUGGUGUAGUGGUGAAAUACGUAGAUAUCAGGAAGAACACCGGUGGCGAAGGCGGCAUCCUGGACCGGCAUUGACGCUGAGGCGCGAAAGCUAGGGGAGCAAACGGG